GUCCCCGUACUAAGGAAGCUUUGUUUUUUAAUUUGUUACUUACUUUUCUCUUUCUCCACCAAACUCAAUUAAAUAAGAAACAAAAGAAAAAUUUACUAUCCCAAAUACUAGACAACGACAGAAGGAGAUGAACUGGAGAGAACUCCAGAGUUAAACGCAAGGAACCAAGAAGGACGAAGAACAACAAAUUCGAGCGAAUUAAAUACUGGCAAUUAGAGAAUGGUAAAGAGGAAAAAAUUACUUCAUAUUUCCUUCCAUAAAAAAAGACUAGAUUGUUGAAGAUAACAGACAACCUUCUGAACCAUUAGAGGAAAUUGUUAAAGAAGCUGAACCUGUUACUGCUGGUGGCACCGCUAAUGAUGAGAAACUUGAUUUAGAUGAUGAGUAGCCUCCUCAAAACUUUGGAAAACCCAUAGAAGGUAUUGGUUUGAAUUUUUUAGUGUGUGAUCUUGGUUUGCGUAGAUCAAUUGACACUUAUAGUUAGGAGAGCAUAUAUUAAUCUUGGGCCAUAUUAGCCUAAAGAUGUAAAAUAUUCAUUUUCCAGCCCACCAAAA